AACCUGGUUGAUCCUGCCAGUAGUCAUAUGCUUGUCUCAAAGAUUAAGCCAUGCAUGUCUCGGUAUAAAUUCUUGUACGGUGAAACUGCGAAUGGCUCAUUACAUCAGUUACAAUCUACACCCUGAUUAUUAUACGGAUACCUAGGGUAAUUCUCUUGCUAACACGUGCCUGAAGUCCUCUGGACGUCAUUGCUAGCUUGAGAUCAACUCACAAGUUCACUUGUGACCCUGGUGAUUCAUAGCAAUUUGAAUUUAUCGCUCUUCGCGAAGCAGGGUUCGAGUUUCUGACCUAUCAUGUUUGACGGUUGUGUAUUGGACCACCGUGCAGUUGACGGGUAACAGAGAAUUAGGGUUUGAUUCUGGAGAGGGUGCCUGAGAAACGGCAACCACAUCUAAGGAAGGCAGCAGGCACGCAAAUUACCCAAUCCUGACACAGAGAGGUAGUGACAAGAAAUAACAAUGUGGAGCAAUCUUUGUUCUGCAUUUGGGAUGAGUCGUAGUUAAAUCUCACGACGAUUAUCGAUUGGAGGGCAAGUCUGGUGCCAGCAGCCGCGGUAAUUCCAGCUCCAAGAGCGUAUAUUAAAGUUGCUGCGGUUAAAAAGCUCGUAGUUGGAUUUCAGUCUAGGAAGGUUAACUCGCCGAAAGGUUGUACGUUGAUUUUCCUCAGACUUCGUCAGAAGCUCGUGCUGCACUUAACUGUGUGGUACGAUGUUCUGACCUUUUACCUUGAGGAAAGUAGAGUGUUUCAGGCAGGCUACCCAGCUUGAAUACAUUAGCAUGGAAUAAUGAAAUGGAUCUCGGUUCGAUUUCGUUGGUUCUAGAGCUGAGGUGAUGAUCAAUAGGAACAGGCGAAGGUAUUCGUACUUGAGAGUGAGGAGUGAAAUCCGAUGAUCUCUUAAAGACGAUCCGAGGCGAAAGCAUUUGUCAAGGAUGUUUUCAUUGAUCAAGAACGAAAGUUAGGGGAUCGAAGACGAUUAGAUACCGUCCUAGUCCUAACCGUAAACAAUGCCGACUAGAGAUUAGACGCUGUCAGUGUUACGAUACGUCUAGCAUCUUCAGAGAAAUCAAAGUCUUUGGGCUCUGGGGGGAGUAUGGUCGCAAGGCUGAAACUUAAAGGAAUUGACGGAAGGACACCACCAGGAGUGGAGCCUGCGGCUUAAUUUGACUCAACACGAGAAAUCUUAUCAGGUCCACACAUUGGUAGGAUUGACAGUGUACGCUAGACCUUUCUUGAUUCUAUGGGCGGUGGUGCAUGGUCGUUCCUAGUUGGUGGAGUGAUGCGUCUAGUUAAUUCCGUUAACGAACGAGACCUUAACCUAUUAAUUAGUCCGACAUAGUUUCGGUUAUGUGGGGUCACUUCUUAGAGGGACUUUGCGGUUUUAUCGCAUGGAAGUGUGAGGCAAUGACAGAUCUGUGAUGCCCUUAGAUGGUCUGGGCGGCACGCGCGCUACAAUGAUGCAUUCAAAAAGUCUUCUGACCUUAGAAGGUUGGGUAUUCUCCAAAGUGCAUCGUGAUGGGAAUAGUUUAUUGCAAUUUUUAAUCUUGAACGAGGAAUUCCUAGUAAGUACAGGUCAUCAACUUGUGUUGAUUACGUCCCUGCCCUUUGUACACACCGCCCGUCGCUCCUACUGAUUGAGUGUCUCGGUGAAUUCUUUGAUCUUCUGUCGAUUCAGUUCACUGAUCCGACGGUGGAAAGUUGAAUGAACUUCGUCACUUAGAGGAAGGAGAAGUCGUAACAAGGUUUCCGUAGGUGAACCUGCAGAAGGAUCA
rnacentral:rRNA from 1 species